GCGGGAAUUCGAUUACCUGCCCUAAGGUGGAGGAUAACCCCGGGAAACUGGGGAUAAUACUCCAUAGACCAGAGUGACUGGAAUGUUUUCUGGUCGAAAGUUCCGGCGCCUUAGGAUGGAUCUGCGGCCGAUUAGGUAGUUGUUGGGGUAACGGCCCAACAAGCCAGUCAUCGGUACGGGUUGUGGGAGCAAGAGCCCGGAGAUGGAAUCUGAGACACGAUUCCAGGCCCUACGGGGCGCAGCAGGCGCGAAAACUUUACAAUGCAGGAAACUGUGAUAAGGGAACCCCGAGUGCUCGUACACGCGAGCUGUCCAGGUGUGUAAAAAGCAUCUGAAGAAAGGGCCGGGCAAGACCGGUGCCAGCCGCCGCGGUAAUACCGGCGGCUCGAGUGGUGGCCACUAUUAUUGGGCUUAAAGCGUUCGUAGCUGGACUCUUAAGUCUCCUGGGAAAUCCGCCGGCUCAACCGGCGGGCGUCCAGGAGAUACUGGGAGUCUUGGAACCGGAAGAGGUAAGA
rnacentral:rRNA from 1 species